GCUUUUAUAAUAAUUUAAAAGUGAUACCUGCCCAGUGGUAUUAAUAUUAAAAUUAUAAUUUAAUUUAAAAAAUAUUUAACGGAUGCGGUAACUCUGACUGUAAUAAAGUAGCAUAAUAAUUUGUCACUUAAUUGGUGGAGAGUAUGAAUGGUGUAACAAAUAUUUCAUUGUCUUAAUAAAAAGUUUUUAAAAUUACAAUAAUAGUGAAGAUUCUAUUUAAAAUCAUAAGACGAAAAGACCCUAUAGAGCUUAACUAUAAAUUUUUUUUAUUGGUUAUAAUAAUUUUAUUUAAAUAAUAGAAAAUUUGGUAGUUUAGUUGGGGCGACUAUCUUUUAUAAUUAACAAAGAUAAGCAAUAAUAAAUAAAUAUAUUUAUUGUAUAAUUAAUUAAUUUAACAAUUAUAAUAAUAGGCUAUAAUGACCCAUUAAAUUUUAUAAAUACAUUUAAUGAUUAGUAAAUAAAAGCUACCUUAGGGAUAACAGGAUAAUUUUGUUUUAGAGUUCUUAUCAAAUUCAAAGUUUGUCACCUCUAUGUUGAAUUAAGAUAUCCUAAUAAUGCAGAAGUUAUUAAUGGUAGGUCUGUUCGACCUUUAAAAUCUU
rnacentral:rRNA from 1 species